GAUGAACGCUAGCGGCAGGCCUAAUACAUGCAGGUCGAACGGUGUCUUCGGACAUAGUGGCGCACGGGUGCGUAACACGUAUGCAACCUACCUUACAUUGGGGGAUAGCCUUUCGAAAGGGAGAUUAAUACCGCAUAAGACAGUAGCUGGGCAUCCAGCAGCUGUUAAAGAUUUAUCGAUGUAAGCUGGGCAUGCGUCCAAUUAGCUAGUUGGUGAGGUAACGGCUCACCAAGGCAAUGAUUGGUAGGGGAACUGAGAGGUCAAUCCCCCACACUGGCACUGAGAUACGGGCCAGACUCCUACGGGAGGCAGCAGUAGGGAAUAUUGGGCAAUGGACGCAAGUCUGACCCAGCCAUGCCGCGUGCAGGAUGAAGGCGUUAUGCGUUGUAAACUGCUUUUAUACAGAAAGAAACGACUCUUGCGAGAGGCAUUGACGGUACUGUAUGAAUAAGCACCGGCUAACUCCGUGCCAGCCGCCGCGGUAACAC
rnacentral:rRNA from 1 species